rnacentral:tRNA from 1 species
UAGUCAAGUUGGUAAAGCACUUGUCUAACGAAUAAGGGUCGUGAGUUCAAAUCUCAC